GCAUAUCAAUAAGCGGAGGAAAAGAAACCAACUGGGAUUGCCUCAGUAACGGCGAGUGAAGCGGCAGAAGCUCAAAUUUGAAAUCUGGCCUCUUUGGGGGUCCGAGUUGUAAUUUGCAGAGGACACUUCGGGUGCGGCCGCGGCCUAAGUCCCCUGGAACGGGGCGUCGCAGAGGGUGAGAAUCCCGUCUUGGGCCGUGGGCCUGCCCCGUGUGAAGUUCCUUCGACGAGUCGAGUUGUUUGGGAAUGCAGCUCUAAGUGGGUGGUAAAUUUCAUCUAAGGCUAAAUACUGGCGGGAGACCGAUAGCGCACAAGUAGAGUGAUCGAAAGGUUAAAAGCACCUUGAAAAGGGAGUUAAAUAGCACGUGAAAUUGUUGAAAGGGAAGCGCUGGCAGCCAGACACGGACUCGGGGGCUCAGCGGGCAUGCGUGCCCGUGCACUCCCCCGCGGUCCGGGCCAGCAUCGGUUUCGGCGGCCGGUCAAAGGCCCCGGGAAGGUAUCGUCCUCCGGGACGACUUACAGCCCGGGGUGCAAUGCGGCCAGCCGGGACCGAGGUACGCGCUCCGGCACGGAUGCUGGCGUAAUGGCUGUCAGCGGCCCGUCUUGAAACACGGACC
rnacentral:rRNA from 1 species